CUACGGGAGGCUGCAGUGGGGAAUAUUGCACAAUGGACGAAAGUCUGAUGCAGCGACGCCGCGUGGGGGAUGAAGGUUUUCGGAUUGUAAACCCCUGUUAAGAGGGAAGAAAUACCUGCAAGUAAUAUGUGCGGGGGAUGACGGUACCUCUAGAGAAAGCUCCGGCUAACUUCGUGCCAGCAGCCGCGGUAAUACGAAGGGAGCAAGCGUUAUUCGGAAUUACUGGGCGUAAAGAGCGUGCAGGCGGUUGAUUAAGUUGGUUGUUAAAUUCCCUGGCUUAACUAGGGUUCAGCAAUCAAUACUGGUCGGCUAGAGGGCAAGAGAGAGAAGUGGAAUGCUUGGAGUAGCGGUAAAAUGCAUAGAUCUCAAGAGGAACACCAGUUGCGAAGGCGGCUUUUUGGCUUGUCCCUGACGCUGAAGCGCGAAAGCGUGGGGGGCAAACGGGAUUAGAUACCCCUGUAGUC
rnacentral:rRNA from 1 species